rnacentral:rRNA from 1 species
GACGAACGCUGGCUGCGUGCUUAACACAUGCAAGUCGAACGGAAAGGCCCUGCUUUUGUGGGGUGCUCGAGUGGCGAACGGGUGAGUAACACGUGAAUAACCUGCCCUUGACUUUGGGAUUACUUCAGGAACCUGGGGCUAAUACCGGAUAGGAGCUCCUGCUGCAUGGAGGGGGUUGGAAAGUUUCGGCGGUUGGGGAUGGACUCGCGGCUUAUCAGCUUGUUGGUGGGGUAGUGGCUUACCAAGGCUUUGACGGGUAGCCGGCCUGAGAGGGUGACCGGCCACAUUGGGACUGAGAUACGGCCCAGACUCCUACGGGAGGCAGCAGUGGGGAAUAUUGCACAAUGGGCGGAAGCCUGAUGCAGCAACGCCGCGUGCGGGAUGACGGCCUUCGGGUUGUAAACCGCUUUCGCCUGUGACGAAGCGUGAGUGACGGUAAUGGGUAAAGAAGCACCGGCUAACUACGUG